rnacentral:snoRNA from 1 species
CCCCUCUCAGGAUCGCACCUGGAGAGUUUCCAGUAUUCUACCAGUCUCGGCUAUGGGACGGAGAGUCAAACAGAGGCAUGCCCAUUCCAGUCCUAGCUUGGGCAGUGGCUAGUGAGUGGAAGGAAAUCUGCUACAAGU